rnacentral:rRNA from 1 species
AAUUAACGCUGGCGGUAUGCAUAACACAUGCAAGUCGAGCGAGAAAGUUCCUUCGGGGAUGAGUAAAGCGGCGCACGGGUGAGUAUCACGUGGGGAUCUGCCUCGCACUCAGGGAUAGCCCACUGAAAAGUGGAUUAAUACCGGAUAGUCCCGCUUCGGCGGGUAAAGAUUUAUCGGUGCGAGAUGAACCUGCGUCCUAUCAGCUAGUUGGUAAGGUAACGGCUUACCAAGGCUAUGACGGGUAGCUGGUCUGAGAGGAUGAUCAGCCACAAUGGGACUGAGACACGGCCCAUACUCCUACGGGAGGCAGCAGUGAGGAAUUUUGCGCAAUGGGGGAAACCCUGACGCAGCAAUACCGCGUGGAGGAUGACGGCUCUUUGGGUUGUAAACUCCUUUUCACUGGGAAGAAAUUUGACUGUACCAGUGGAAUAAGUCACGGCUAACUACG